UACGUAGGGUGCGAGCGUUAAUCGGAAUUACUGGGCGUAAAGCGUGCGCAGGCGGUUCGUUGUGUCGGCGGGGAAAGCCCCGGGCUUAACCUGGGAAUGGCCGUCGAAACUGGCGAACUGGAGUGUGGCAGAGGGGGGUGGAAUUCCGCGUGUAGCAGUGAAAUGCGUAGAGAUGUGGAGGAACACCGAUGGCGAAGGCAGCCCCCUGGGCCAAUACUGACGCUCAUGCACGAAAGCGUGGGGAGCAAACAGG
rnacentral:rRNA from 1 species